rnacentral:rRNA from 1 species
GCUUGUCUCAAAGAUUAAGCCAUGCAUGUCUAAGUAUAAACCGCUUUAUACUGUGUGCUACUGCAGAAGGCUCAUUAAAACAGUUAUAGUUUAUUUGAUGGUAACUUACUACAUGGAUAACCGUAGUAAUUCUAGAGCUAAUACAUGCGUAAAGUCCCGACUUUUCGGAAGGGAUGUAUUUAUUAGAUAAAAAACCAAUGCUGGUAGCAAUAUCAGCUUAUAUUGGUGAUUCAUAGUAACUAAUCGGACCGCAUGGACUCGUUCCGGCGGUAGAUCAUUCAAAUUUCUGCCCUAUCAGCUUUCGAUGGUUGUGUAGUGGACAACCAUGGCGUUAACGGGUAACGGAGAAUUAGGGUUCGAUUCCGGAGAGGGAGCCUUAAAAACGGCUACCACAUCUAAGGAAGGCAGCAGG